rnacentral:rRNA from 1 species
GAUGAACGCUAGCGGGAGGCUUAACACAUGCAAGUCGAGGGGCAGCACGGGGUAGCAAUACUCUGGUGGCGACCGGCGCACGGGUGAGUAACGCGUAUGUAACCUACCUUGUACAGGGGGAUAGCCCGGAGAAAUUCGGAUUAAUACCCCAUAACGAUAUCGGAUGGCAUCAUUUGGUAUUUAAAGCUCAGGCGGUACAGGAUGGGCAUGCGUAACAUUAGCUAGUUGGUAAGGUAACGGCUUACCAAGGCUGCGAUGUUUAGGGGUCCUGAGAGGGUGAUCCCCCACACUGGUACUGAGACACGGACCAGACUCCUACGGGAGGCAGCAGUGAGGAAUAUUGGUCAAUGGGCGCGAGCCUGAACCAGCCAUCCCGCGUGAAGGAAGAAGGCGCUAUGCGUCGUAAACUUCUUUUGCAGGUCAAGAAUGUUAUCUACGUGUAGAUGAUUGACGGUAACCUGUGAAUAAGCAUCGGCUAACUCCGUGCCAGCAGCCGCGGU